rnacentral:rRNA from 1 species
CGGGAUGGAAUGACAGGUGGUGCAUGGCUGUCGUCAGCUCGUGUUGUGAAAUGUCGAGUUAAGUCUCGUAACGAGCGCAACCCAUGUCUCUUGUUGCUCACUGAGUGCUUAAGAGAGACUGCCGGCCAACAUCGGAGGAAGGUGUGGAUGAUGUCAAGUCAGCAUGCCCCUUACAUCCUGGGCUACACACGUACUACAAUGGUAAGGACAAUGAGCUGCGAUCCUGCGAAGGCUAGCCAAUCUCAAAAACCUUAUCUCAGUUCGGAUUGCACUCUGCAACUCGAGUGCAUGAAGGUGGAAUCGCUAGUAAUCGCUGGUCAGCUAUACAGCGGUGAAUACGUUCCC